rnacentral:rRNA from 1 species
CCUACGGGUGGCAGCAGUGGGGGAUAUUGGGCAAUGGGCGCAACCCUGACCCAGCAACGCCGCGUGAGUGAAGAAGGCUUUCGGGUUGUAAACCUCUAUUAGCAGGGAAGAAACGAGUGACGGUACCUGAGGAAUAAGCCCCGGCUAACUACGUGCCAGCAGCCGCGGUAAUACGUAGGGGGCAAGCGUUAUCCGGAUUUACUGGGUGUAAAGGGAGUGUAGGCGGGAAAGCAAGUCUGGCGUGAAAGGCCUGGGCUCAACCCGUGGACUGCUUUGGGAACUGUAUAUCUUGAGUGCAGGAGAGGCAAGCGGAAUUCCUAGUGUAGCGGUGAAAUGCGUAGAUAUUAGGAGGAACACCAGUGGCGAAGGCGGUCUGCUGGACAGCAACUGACGUUGAGGCGCGAAAGCGUGGGGAGCAAACAGGAUUAGAUACCCGUGUAGUC